GGGAAGCGGAUGCAGUUAGCAAUGCUUCUGCGAGAUUCAGGCGGUCGCUCGGCCAGACGUGCAGUUGGCGGAUCUGAAUGGACUGUCGUUGCACGGCCGGGUCUUGUGCCCGUCGCACUUCUCGCUGGAGCGCGUCAACAGCUGCUGUGCCUGGUCGACACGGCCGGGUGGAAGGUGGGCAUCCAGCUUGCUGGCUGUCGUUAUAUCCACUCGUGCUUCCUAGAUCGGGCUUGGCAGAGGUGAGCGGUGCAUGCUCUCACUUUAUGGGAGGGCUGGCGUCCUGUCACGUUCACGUAGCUGGCUUGGAUGCACUGCUUGCAGUACGUUCUCGCCGGUGAAACGGCGUGCAGUCAACGCACACGAUGCACCAUGGUUGUUGGCGGCCAUAUGGCUUUAUCCGACCCGUCUUGAAACACGGACCAAGGAGUCUAACAUGUGCGCAAGUCCUGGGGUGACCGAAACCCAGAGGCGCAAUGAAAGUGAAGGCUGCCUGGCAGCUGAGGUGAGAUCCUUGCUCUACGCGGGUGAGGCGCAUCAUCGACCGACCUAUUCUACUCUUAGGAAGGUUUGAGUAAGAGCGUACAUGUUGGGACCCGAAAGAUGGUGAACUAUGCCUGAGUAGGGUGAAGCCAGAGGAAACUCUGGUGGAAGCUCGUAGCGAUUCUGACGUGC
rnacentral:rRNA from 1 species